rnacentral:rRNA from 1 species
UACGUAGGGCGCGAGCGUUGUCCGGAUUUAUUGGGCGUAAAGAGCUCGUAGGCGGUUUGUCGCGUCUGCUGUGAAAACUGGAGGCUCAACCUCCAGCCUGCAGUGGGUACGGGCAGACUAGAGUGCGGUAGGGGAGAUUGGAAUUCCUGGUGUAGCGGUGGAAUGCGCAGAUAUCAGGAGGAACACCGAUGGCGAAGGCAGAUCUCUGGGCCGUAACUGACGCUGAGGAGCGAAAGCGUGGGGAGCGAACAGG